rnacentral:rRNA from 1 species
AUGGAAAGAUAUUUUUCCAAGAAGAGAAGUCGAUCACCUGACCCAGAUAAUGAUGGGGGGACAUCGAGGUCACCCAUCAGAUGUAAGCAAACUGCAUCAAAUGUCGCUGCAAGUAGUCUCCCAAAGCCUUCUAUCCAUAAAGAGAUUAAUUUAGAUGAAUUGCCCUACGAUCCGGCUGAUCGGAAGAGAAUUUCGGAGUACACAAGAAAUCCUAAGAAACAAGAUGAGAUUAGGCGACGAUAUUUAACAAGGGGACCUUACAGGCCGCCGUCUACUUUUGUUUAUCCACACAGGGACAUUGGAGAUACACAACGAAGAUUUAAUCCAGAGUGGUUUAAAGAUUAUGGUCGUUGGCUUGAGUAUAGUGAUAAGGUGCAUAAGGCCUUUUGUUUAUGUUGUUAUCUUUUCAGAGAUAAUAAUGAGGGACAAGCUGGGAGUGAUGCAUUUGGAAUUAAUGGUUGGAACGGUUGGAACAAGAAAAGUAGGCUGGAUACCCACGAGGGUAAAGGUAAUGUUAACAGCUUUCAUAAUGUAGCAGUAAAACGGUGUGAUGCUUUGAUGAAUCAAGAUCAAUCAAUUCGGGUAGCUCUCGAUAAGCAAACUGAUCUUACAAAAAAGCAAAAUCGAAUUCGGCUUAAUGCUUCAAUUGAUUCUGUUAGAUACUUGUUGCAUCAAGGCUUAGCUUUCCGAGGCCAUGACGAAACAGAAGAGUCAAAAAAUAAGGGAAACUUUCGAGAGUUGGUAAAAACUUUGGCAAAUCAAAAUGAUGAUAUACGAAAAGUAGUUCUUGAGAAUGCUCCACAAAAUUGCAAGUGGGUAUGUGGAGAUAUUCAGAAGGAAAUUGCCAACUAUUUUGCCAAGAUAACUUUGAAUUCUAUUAUCGAAGAAAUUGGAGGUGAUGUGUUUAGUUUGUUGAUUGACGAAGCUGCUGAUGUGUCUGACAAAGAGCAAAUGGCAGUUGUUUUGAGAUAUCUUAGCAAGCGUGGAUUUAUCAUUGAACGAUUAGUUGGAGUAGUACAUGUGCAAGAAACAUCGGCAAUAUGUCUUCAGGCCGCACUUCAAAAAUUAUUCACCGAUCUUGGUUUAAGCAUAAAACAAGUCAGAGGACAAUGUUAUGACGGGGCUAGCAAUAUGCGCGGCGAGUUCAAUGGAUUGAAAGCAAAGAUUUUGCAAGAGAAUAAAUCAGCCUAUUAUGUGCAUUGUUUUGCUCACCAACUCCAGUUGGUUAUUGUAGCUGUAGCAAAGAAGCAUGAAGAUAUUUCAGAUUUUUUCUACAUGAUCUCCAUUUUAUUUAAUGUGGUUGGAGCUUCUUGCAAAAGAAAGGACAUGAUUAGAGAGAAACAUCGAGAGGAUGUAAUAAAAGCCAUAGGUAGUGGGCAGAUUAGCACUGGCAGAGGGUUAAAUCAAGAUCAAACUCUUCAGAGAGCUGGUGACACUCGUUGGGGCUCACACUACAGAACUCUCUCAAGUCUAGUGAAGUUGUUCCCUGCAGUCAUGUCUGUUCUGAAAUAUGUGGAGAAAGAAGGUAAAAAUGAAAAGAAAAGUCAGGCGCGUGGUCUUGUAGCAUAUUUUGAGACCUUUGAUUUUGUGUUUUAUUUGCACAUGAUGCUGCAUAUAUUAGGAAAUGCAAAUACUUUGUCACAUUCUUUACAAAAGAAGGAUCAAGACAUCCUAAAUGCCAUGUCAUGUGUCAAGUCCACAAGGAAUGAGCUACAAGAACUAAGGGAGAAUGGAUGGGACUCACUGAUACAGAAGACAUAUUCAUUUUGUGAAGAACAUCACAUUGAGAAGGCGGACAUGCAGGAGCAAUAUAUCAAUCGACACAAACCAAGACAAAAAACUAAUAAGACAAACCUCCAGCAUUACCGAGUAGAGUGUCUUAAUUAUGUUAUUGACUGGCAACUUCAAGAGUUUGAUGACCGUUUCAAUGAGGUAAAUUCUGCAUUACUUGGUCACAUGGCUUCUUUCAACCCAAACGAUGGAUUUGUUGCUUUUAACUUGGAUAGCUUAGUGAAGCUAGCUGAGUUUUAUCCAGAUGAUUUUGAUUCAAAAAAAAUGGAUGAUCUUGGUCCUGAACUGCGCACUUACAUUGAUAAUGUGCGAGCGGAUGAAAGGUUUGCUAAUUUGGACGGGAUUGCUGAUCUUGCGAAGUUAAUGGUGCAGACAAAUAAACAUGUUACUUUUCCCUUGGUCUAUCAUCUUCUAAAGUUAGUAUUGAUAUUACCAGUUGCAACAGCAUCCGUGGAGAGAUGCUUUUCAGCUAUGAAUGUUGUCAAGAAAAAGUUGCGCAACAAAAUUGGUGAUCAGUUCAUGAGUGAUUGUCUAAUUUGCUAUGUGGAGAAAGAGAUGUUUUCUCCCAUUAGUAAUGAUGCUGUGUUUGAUCUUUUUAAGGCGAUAAAAGAUCGAAAAGGGAAGCUCUAA